GGCACGGUGCGCCAACCCGGCAGAGCGACCAAGCUCAAACCUUGGUGGAUGGGGGUUCGAGUCCCUCUCGUGCUA
rnacentral:tRNA from 1 species